rnacentral:rRNA from 1 species
AGCAGCCGCGGUAAUUCCAGCUCCAAUAGCGUAUAUUAAAGUUGUUGCAGUUAAAAAGCUCGUAGUUGAACUUCGGGAUCAAUUGAUUGGUCAUGCUUUAGUAUGUACUGGUCAUAUUGGUUCUCACCUUCUAAAGAACCAUAAUGUCAUUCACUUGAUGUUAUGGGGAAUUAGGACUGUUACCUUGAAAAAAUUAGAGUGUUUAAAGCAGGCUUACGCUUGAAUACAUUAGCAUGGAAUAAUGAAAUAGGACAUCGCAUUCUAUUUUGUUGGUUUCUAGGAUCGAUGUAAUGAUUAAUAGGGAUAGUUGGGGGCAUUAGUAUUCAAUUGUCAGAGGUGAAAUUCUUGGAUUUAUUGAAGACUAACUACUGCGAAAGCAUUUGCCAAGGAUGUUUUCAUUAAUCAAGAACGAAAGUUAGGGGAUCGAAGACGAUCAGAUACCGUCGUAGUCUUAACCAUAAACUAUGCCGACUAGGGAUCGGAUGAUGUUGAUUUUUUAAAUGACU